AUGAACGCUGGCGGCGUGCCUAAUACCUGCAAGUCGAGCGAACAGACGAGGAGCUUGCUCCUCUGACGUUAGCGGCGGACGGGUGAGUAACACGUGGAUAACCUACCUAUAAGACUGGGAUAACUUCGGGAAACCGGAGCUAAUACCGGAUAAUAUAUUGAACCGCAUGGUUCAAUAGUGAAAGACGGUUUUGCUGUCACUUAUAGCUGGAUCCGCGCCGCAUUAGCUAGUUGGUAAGGUAACGGCUUACCAAGGCAACGAUGCGUAGCCGACCUGAGAGGGUGAUCGGCCACACUGGAACUGAGACACGGUCCAGACUCCUACGGGAGGCAGCAGUAGGGAAUCUUCCGCAAUGGGCGAAAGCCUGACGGAGCAACGCCGCGUGAGUGAUGAAGGUCUUCGGAUCGUAAAACUCUGUUAUUAGGGAAGAACAAAUGUGUAAGUAACUAUGCACGUCUUGACGGUACCUAAUCAGAAAGCCACGGCUAACUACGUG
rnacentral:rRNA from 1 species